rnacentral:sRNA from 1 species
AAUCUAUCAUAAUCCACACACCGUGAAAUAUUUAUGUUGGCCACCUGUAACCAAGAAAUUGGGUACAGGGUGAGGUUUGUGCGAGUGAAAACACGCGCAAACCUCAGUCGCUGUUGGUAUUUUACCUUCGGCGUCGGUCUUUAUUAACCAACCAACACCAAACCUUAAUCAUAAAAACACCGAGUGCUUAGCUUAGAGCUGACACUCACUAACCAAGACAACUCUCAACAACGGAUAUCUUGGCUCUCAGAUCGAUGAAGAACGCAGCGAAAUGCGAUACGUAGUGUGAAUUGCAGAAAUACGUGAAUCAUCGAAUUUUUGAACGCAAAUUGCGCUCGAGGCUUCGGCCAAGAGCAUGUCUGCCUCAGCGUCGGGUUAAUAUCGCUAAUUACUUACACUGUGAGUAACCAAGCGGAACUGGUUGUCCCGGUAAAUAUUCUUUUGCCGGGUCAGCUGAAGUAAAGAUGUCGAACCAUGGACCCGCUAAUGGGCCUCUACUGGGUAGGCAACUUGUUGCUAAAUGCUUUAGUAAAUGGUUUAGGGACUGUGUUUGGCACAAAACAGGAUUAUCCUUACGGAGUAAAACCCCUUUAUUUUCUCGACCUGAGCUCAGGCAAGA